CCGAUGCAAUUUUUGGAAGAAUCUCCGAAGGGAUCUCUGGAAGAAUUUCUGAAGACAUCCCCGGAGGAAUUCCUGAAGGAAUCCCCGGAGGAAUUUCCGGAUGAAGUCCUGGAGGAAUCCUAGAAGGUUUCCAGAUUUCCAUGGAUGAAUCUCUGGAAGAAACCCCGGAGAAAUCUCCGAUGGAAUUCCUGAAGGAAUCUCCGAAGGAAUUCAGGGAUGAAUCUCCGAAGGAAUUCACGGAAGAAUCCCAGGAGGAAUCGUAGAAGGAUUUCAUGGUUGAAUCCCCGAGAAAUCCGGAUGAAUCAUCGAUGAAAUUCCUAGAGGAAUCUCCUAAGGAAUUCGCGGAUGAAGCACCGAAGGAAUUCCUGGAGGAAUUUGUGAAGGAAUCUCCAGAUAAAUUUAUGAAGGAAUCUUCGGAGGCAUUCCCGGAAGAACCCCUGGGGGAAUUCUAGAAGGAUUUUAAGGAUGAAUCCCCGGAGGAAGUCCUGGAUUUAUAUCUGCACAAAUUGCUGGAGGAAUCACCGAAGGAAUUUCUGGAGGAAUCCUCGACGGAAUUCCUGAGGAAUCCCUGGAGGAAGCUCCGGUUGAUUUUCCGAAUACCCGAAGCAAUUCCUUUUCGAAAUUGAAAUCACAUUUUUCAGCAGCGCGAUAUUUUCAAAAACAAAUCGUGUCCGGUUGCAGCAAACAGCCAGUUGGCCCGCUCAGAAUAUCACCGGUCAAAUAGAGCUGGAGCGCUUCAAAUUGCUGGUCAAUCUUCCAGUUUGCUGUGGUCCAGAUCAGUAGAUUCAUGCCUGCUCCUGGGAGGGGAGUUCGCUUGUUCUUGCCGAUUGUCCCGGUUCCAUUCCAAGUCAGUCAGAUUGGUAAACAAAGAGUUUCGUCGAUUUUUUUUUCUUUUUUCUCUCUCAAGAUCGACUGUCAAAAUUUCUUUGGUAAAAAUGCACUUUUUUCCUUGACCUCAUUUCUUGCCAUCUGAGUACUAAGCUUAAAAAGAUAGGCCAAGAAACGGUCAAGAAACGAUUUUCUGUCAAAAUUUCUUGAGCCGUACUCAGCUGGAACGGAAAACUCGAUGAACAAUGAUGACGGUGAUGAUGGUGAUGAUUGUGUCGAUCAAACCAAAUGUCAACUUUUUCUUGUGGGAAAAAUAGCCCGACCAAUUAUUCCGCAAGUAGCAGUCAGUUUGUGAUGUUUUUAUUUGUUUUCGGUUGCCGCCGUUGUCACUGCAAGACACCCGAAUCAUGUUGGCCAGGAAGUAGACAAUUCGAAAACCUGCGGAAGAAUUGACACAGUCAUCCAAAUCCAGCGGUGAGGGGAAAGCUGCAACGAAUCAGGUGAUUCCGUCGAACGGCAUUUGGCCGUGGCAAUCCUCCUUUUGGCCGUGGAUUACUCACCCAGCGGAAGUGCGGAAGUACAAGCAAUUUAUCGGUCGGAAGUUCAGCGGUUUUAUCGGGGCUACUGAGAGAGGCAACAAAAACGGAGAUAAUACGGAGAUGCCACAGUCACAGACGGUAGCUGGAAGUGCGAAAAGCUGGUGAUGGUGGCCAAACGGCCAUAAAACGAAACAUAGUCAAAAUACGGGAGAAGACUAUUUUACGUGCAACAACAUGGAAUUACUCCCGGAGAAGGAUCGAGCAAUUUAUUUCAAGAUGCGAGAAGCAGAAAUCCAAGGACAAACACAGUGGAGUGUGCUUAUGCAUCUGCUAUGCCGAUUCGGUCAAGACCUAUUAACUGGUUUGACCACUCCCAGUGACAACGUUUGUGCGGAUGAUUAAACGACUGCAAAAGCUGCUGAAGUUCGAGUCCUGUGGCUACUCAAAACCCUCACGAUAACGAGUCAUGCACGCAAUGAAUUAAUGAAGAAUGGACCUGCCACUUUUUCUUCUCGUUUAUAACUGCUGACCUGGUUAGUUAACAGCGAUGGAUGGCACAAUAAAAUCACUGUUUUGCCUAGAUGUCCUACCACUAACAGGAAUGUUUGUAUAAGGGGAGACGGUCAUUACUGCAAACAAUAAAUAAUGUAUAUACAACAUCAAUAAAUAUCAUAUAUAAUAGUAUUUAAUGAAAAAGCUUCAAAUUGUUAUUAACAACGUAGAUUUUUAACAGAUCACUUUUCACAAAUAAACGAACUCGUACAUAA